rnacentral:rRNA from 1 species
GCGCACCAGGCGCGAAACCUCCGCAAUGCGGGAAACCGCGACGGGGGGACCCCGAGUGCCGUGGCAACGCCACGGCUUUUCCGGAGUGUAAAAAGCUCCGGGAAUAAGGGCUGGGCAAGGCCGGUGGCAGCCGCCGCGGUAAUACCGGCGGCCCGAGUGGUGGCCGCUAUUAUUGGGCCUAAAGCGUCCGUAGCCGGGCCCGUAAGUCCCUGGCGAAAUCCCACGGCUCAACCGUGGGGCUUGCUGGGGAUACUGCGGGUCUUGGGACCGGGGAGAGGCGGGGGGUACCCCUGGGGUAGGGGUGAAAUCCUAUAACCCCAGGGGGACCGCCAGUGGCGAAGGCGCCCCGCUGGAACGGGUCCGACGGUGAGGGACGAAGGCCAGGGGAGCAAACCGGAUUAGAUACCCGUGUAGU